rnacentral:rRNA from 1 species
GACGAACGCUGGCGGCGUGCUUAACACAUGCAAGUCGAACGGAAAGGCCCUGCUUUUGUGGGGUGCUCGAGUGGCGAACGGGUGAGUAACACGUGAGUAACCAGCCCUUGACUUUGGGAUAACUUCAGGAAACUGGGGCUAAUACCGGAUAGGAGCUCCUGCUGCAUGGUGGGGGUUGGAAAGUUUCGGCGGUUGGGGAUGGACUCGCGGCUUAUCAGCUUGUUGGUGGGGUAGUGGCUUACCAAGGCUUUGACGGGUAGCCGGCCUGAGAGGGUGACCGGCCACAUUGGGACUGAGAUACGGCCCAGACUCCUACGGGAGGCAGCAGUGGGGAAUAUUGCACAAUGGGCGGAAGCCUGAUGCAGCAACGCCGCGUGCGGGAUGACGGCCUUCGGGUUGUAAACCGCUUUCGCCUGUGACGAAGCGUGAGUGACGGUAAUGGGUAAAGAAGCACCGGCUAACUACGUGCCAGCAGCCGCGGUGAUACGUAGGGUGCGAGCGUUGUCCGGAUUUAUUGGGCGUAAAGGGCUCGUAGGUGGUUGAUCGCGUCGGAAGUGUAAUCUUGGGGCUUAACCCUGAGCGUGCUUUCGAUACGGGUUGACUUGAGGAAGGUAGGGGAGAAUGGAAUUCCUGGUGGAGCGGUGGAAUGCGCAGAUAUCAGGAGGAACACCAGUGGCGAAGGCGGUUCUCUGGGCCUUUCCUGACGCUGAGGAGCGAAAGCGUGGGGAGCGAACAGGCUUAGAUACCCUGGUAGUCCACGCUGUAAACGGUGGGUACUAGGUGUGGGGUCCAUUCCACGGGUUCCGUGCCGUAGCUAACGCUUUAAGUACCCCGCCUGGGGAGUACGGCCGCAAGGCUAAAACUCAAAGGAAUUGACGGGGCCCCGCACAAGCGGCGGAGCAUGCGGAUUAAUUCGAUGCAACGCGUAGAACCUUACCUGGGUUUGACAUGGAUCGGGAGUGCUCAGAGAUGGGUGUGCCUCUUUUGGGGUCGGUUCACAGGUGGUGCAUGCCUGUCGUCAGCUCGUGUCGUGAGAUGUUGGGUUAAGUCCCGCAACGAGCGCAACCCUUGUUCACUGUUGCCAGCACGUUAUGGUGGGGACUCAGUGGAGACCGCCGGGGUCAACUCGGAGGAAGGUGGGGAUGACGCCAAGUCAUCAUGCCCCUUAUGUCCAGGGCUUCACGCAUGCUACAAUGGCUGGUACAGAGAGUGGCGAGCCUGUGAGGGUGAGCGAAUCUCGGAGAGCCGGUCUCAAUUCGGAUUGGGGUCUGCAACUCGACCUCAUGAAGUCGGAGUCGCUAGUAAUCGCAGAUCAGCAACGCUGCGGUGAAUACGUUCCCGGG